rnacentral:tRNA from 1 species
GCGCCCGUAGCUCAGUGGACAGAGCGGCGGACUUCUAAUCCGCGGGUCGCAGGUUCGAAUCCUGCCGGGCGCACCU